AUUGAACGCUGGCGGCAGGCCUAACACAUGCAAGUCGAACGAGUGGCGGACGGGUGAGUAAUGUCUGGGAAACUGCCUGAUGGAGGGGGAUAACUACUGGAAACGGUAGCUAAUACCGCAUACCAUCGGAUGUGCCCAGAUGGGAUUAGCUAGGAGGUGGGGUAACGGCUAACCUAGGCGACGAUCCCUAGCUGGUCUGCGCGGAUGACCAUCCACACUGGAACUGAGUCACGGUCCAGACUCCGACGAGAGGCAGCAGGGGUGAAUAUUGCACAAUUGGCGCAAGCUUGAUGCAGCCAUGACGCGUGUAUGAAGAAGGCCUUCGGGUGUUAAAGUUCUUUCAGUGGGGAGGCGUUACCCGCAGAAGAAGCACCGGCUAACUCCGUGCCAGCAGCCGCGGUAAUUC
rnacentral:rRNA from 1 species